rnacentral:rRNA from 1 species
GAUGAACGCUGGCGGCGUGCCUAAUACAUGCAAGUAGAACGCUGAAGCUUGGUGCUUGCCCCGAGCGGAUGAGUUGCGAACGGGUGAGUAACGCGUAGGUAACCUGCCUCUUAGCGGGGGAUAACUAUUGGAAACGAUAGCUAAUACCGCAUAAAAGUCGAUAUCGCAUGAUAUUGAUUUGAAAGGUGCAAAUGCAUCACUAAGAGAUGGACCUGCGUUGUAUUAGCUAGUUGGUGAGGUAACGGCUCACCAAGGCGACGAUACAUAGCCGACCUGAGAGGGUGAUCGGCCACACUGGGACUGAGACACGGCCCAGACUCCUACGGGAGGCAGCAGUAGGGAAUCUUCGGCAAUGGGGGCAACCCUGACCGAGCAACGCCGCGUGAGUGAAGAAGGGUUUCGGAUCGUAAAGCUCUGUUGUAAGAGAAGAACGAGUGUGAGAGUGGAAAGUUCACACUGUGACGGUAACUUACCAGAAAGAGACGGCUAACUACGUG